GGACAAACAUUUCUUCAGGUACCUAUCCCAAAAUUGGCAGAGCCCCCCCAACAAAGUAAUUCUUCGAAGAAAGAGGAGGGCCCAGCAGUAGCAACAGGUACCUCCUCCUCAGAAGAAAUCGGUGAGCCAAAGGAAAAAAAAUCUAAAACAGCUCCCUCUUCUUCCUCUG
rnacentral:ribozyme from 1 species